rnacentral:rRNA from 1 species
UACGUAGGGUGCGAGCGUUAAUCGGAAUUACUGGGCGUAAAGCGUGCGCAGGCGGUUUUGUAAGUCUGUCGUGAAAUCCCCGGGCUCAACCUGGGAAUUGCGAUGGAGACUGCAAGGCUAGAAUCUGGCAGAGGGGGGUAGAAUUCCACGUGUGAGCAGUGAAAUGCGUAGAGAUGUGGAGGAACACCGAUGGCGAAGGCAGCCCCCUGGGUCAAGAUUGACGCUCCAUGCACGAAAGCGUGGGGAGCAAACAGG